GAGCGAACGGGAUUAGAUACCUCGGUAGUCCUGGCCGUAAACGAUGGGUACUAGGUGUAGGAGGUAUCGACCCNUUCUGUGCCGGAGUUAACGCAAUAAGUACCCCGCCUGGGGAGUACGACCGCAAGGUUGAAACUCAAAGGAAUUGACGGGGGCCCGCACAAGCGGUGGAGUAUGUGGUUUAAUUCGACGCAACGCGAAGAACCUUACCAGGUCUUGACAUUGAUGGACAGAACCAGAGAUGGUUCCUCUUCUUCGGAAGCCAGAAAACAGGUGGUGCACGGUUGUCGUCAGCUCGUGUCGUGAGAUGUUGGGUUAAGUCCCGCAACGAGCGCAACCCCUAUCUUAUGUUGCCAGCACUUUGGGUGGGGACUCAUGAGAGACUGCCGCAGACAAUGCGGAGGAAGGCGGGGAUGACGUCAAAUCAUCAUGCCCCUUAUGACCUGGGCUACACACGUACUACAAUGGGAGUUAAUAGACGGAAGCGAGAUCGCGAGAUGGAGCAAACCCGAGAAACACUCUCUCAGUUCGGAUCGUAGGCUGCAACUCGCCUACGUGAAGUCGGAAUCGCUAGUAAUCGCAGGUCAGCAUACUGCGGUGAAUACGUUCCCGGGCCUUGUACACACCGCCCGUCACACCANG
rnacentral:rRNA from 1 species